rnacentral:lncRNA from 1 species
AUUUGAACCUGAUUGAGCUGACUCUAGCCCACUUCCUCAGGCUGGGAACGGCCUCUGGGCCCAGCCCCUUCCCCUUCCCCCGGGACUUCCUCCUGGUUAAUGAGUAGUCAAAGCACCUGGGAAAUGAGGCUCCUGCUGCCGUGAGGCUGGAAUCCCUGCCGGCUUCGUGACCUGGAGGAGUCACAGAACUACCCUGAGCCUCAGGUGAGCCCCCCCUAGAGCAACUCCCCACCCCCUCAGCUAUGGGGCUGAGUCCAGAAAUCAGAUUCACCCUCCCGGUGCCUGGGGCAGCUUAAGGAAGAAAGAAGAUUCUUAACAGGGAGACCCUCUCUGGGCUUGUGGUGAGAUCUCCCACGGGGUGUCUGCCCCCAUGCCCCGCACCCAUUGUAAACUGGUGCAUAUAGGAGUGUUGAUAUAACAGGCCCAUGACUUCCAGUGUUGUCAGAAAAGGCCACCUCAGGCCUGUUCAACAGAAGUGCCAACCUCAACAUUCGCUUCCUAGAAGGCUCAAGACCGUAAUAAAAUGAUAUUUAUUAUUUAC